rnacentral:snRNA from 1 species
GGAAGUGAGGGCGAUCUGGCUGCGACAUCUGUCACCCCAUUGAUCACCAGGGUUGAUUCGGCUGAUCUGGCUUGGCUAGGCAGGUGUCCCCUUCCUCCACUCACCGCUUCCAUGUGCGUCCUCCCGAAGCUGCGCGCUCAGUCGAAGAGGACGACCAUCCCCGAUAGAGGAGGACCAUUCUUCGGUCAAGGGUAUACGAAUAGCUGCGCUCCCUGCUAGAACCUCAAACAAGCUCUCAAAGAGAUAAAGUGACAAAUUAUAUGAUAUAAUCUCUUCCUAUAUCAAAUUUCCUGGGAGAAUU